rnacentral:tRNA from 1 species
GCAUCGGUGAUUCAGUGGUAGAAUACUCGCCUGCCACGCGGGUUCGAUUCCCGGCCGAUGCA